UACGGAGGAUGCAAGCGUUAUCCGGAAUGAUUGGGCGUAAAGCGUCCGCAGGUGGCUAUGUAAGUCUGCUGUUAAAGAGUGAGGCUCAACCUCAUAAGAGCAGUGGAAACUACACGGCUAGAGUGCGUUCGGGGCAGAGGGAAUUCCUGGUGUAGCGGUGAAAUGCGUAGAUAUCAGGAAGAACACCGGUGGCGAAAGCGCUCUGCUAGGCCGCAACUGACACUGAGGGACGAAAGCUAGGGGAGCGAAUGGG
rnacentral:rRNA from 1 species